rnacentral:rRNA from 1 species
GGAAGGGCGGGGCCGGGGGAGGGCUAGGUCAGGAGAGGGGUGGUGGCUGGAGCGCCAGGAGGAGUGGGUGGCGGCGGCUGGAGUAGGGAGGGAGGCGAGUGGUAGAGAGGGAUGGGUGCGUCAUCCCAAGGUAGGGAGAGGAGGAAGGAGGGGCGAAGGGGAGGGCCGGGGCUGGAAGGACGGUGCGGCGGAGUGGCGGUGGGCAGCGGAGUAGGAGAGGUGAGGGGGCGUGCGGCCAUCGGGCGCGGAGACUCUGGGCCGCGGCCGCGGCCACCUCCUCCAGCGCCGGCGUCGGCACCUCCUCAUGCUCCGCGUAGGUGACGGUAGCCCUGCUCUAUCUCGUUCAGCUGACCCAGCAGAGGCGGUACUUGCUGUUCCGCUGGGCUUUGUCGCGUGUACAGUCGAGAGGCAGACUCGUUCCCUCGGCAGGUCAGCGGCGGCGGUCCCACGGCGACGACCAGUCAUACGCACGGUGGCCUUGUCCAGCCCCUCGAAGGCCAACCACACACACGGAGGAAGGAAGUCGUGUUCGUCGUCCGGGUCCCGUAAUCGUGGUAGGGUUGCUUUAACUACCUGGUUCAUUGGUCGACGGUUCAAGAAGUUCCAAGCACUUCUCUCGACUAGACCAAAACACUUCCUUCCCGCUCUUUCUAAUACACCCCUAGUCUAACAGGUACCGCUGAAUCCUCCUCGUCGUGGUAGAGUCCAACGAGGCUAGACCAACACACUUCCUUGUACGUUCCAGACGAUGAGGACAACACGAGGGAACUUGCUAGACCACUUCCUGUUAAAAGGUAACCAGCAGGGGGGUACGAUAGAGAGAGACGACGUAUCAAUCCAUAUACGCUCAGGCCGUCACGCCACCGUCAGGGGCACCUUGCUCGCGACCUGAUGAGGGAACCGGUCCGCAUGGACACGUUCGUGCUUACCUCGCUUCUAAUGACAACCACAACGGUCGGUUCAAGAGGUCGGGCACCACUUGGCUCCGAUAGAGUUCACGAAGCAACCAACCCAACGCAAGAAACGACGACCAGAGUACUUACCCAUUCCCGUUCCUCCUCCGUUGUGCAACCUUCGACCUCCUGGGUCCCUACCUAUUAUACACAACCAGAGCGGUAGAUGGACAGGGAAAACAACUAUUUAGGUAACGCGUUACCCACUGGCACCUUCCCUACCUUCAAGUAUAACAACAAACAUUACUUCCAGUAUCGGAUUAGGACUGAUACCAGUAGAUCACUCAUACCGUAUACCAAGUAUACUGUCCUCGUACACGGGUCAAACACUAGCGAUAACUGUCCUCGAGGUAAGACUUCUUCUAACUUCUGUUAACACCUCAACAUUUAAUGACAUCGGUCGAUAGUGUGAACAUCUCGAACAUUAUAACACUAAGGUUAACAUAAUGCACAAUAACCAUCUCGUUCUCGAGGUAUGACUAAGACCGACAAUAAUAAACUUCAUAAUGUACACAAAAG